CAGUCGCCGCGGGAAUACAGAGGCCUCAAGCGUUGUUCGGAUUCAUUGGGCGUAAAGGGUGCGUAGGUGGCUUGGUAAGUUGAAGGUGAAAUCUCGGGGCUUAACCCCGAAACUGCCUUUAAUACUGCUAGGCUCGAGGACUGUAGAGGAGAAUGGAAUUCACGGUGUAGCAGUGAAAUGCGUAGAUAUCGUGAGGAAGACCAGUGGCGAAGGCGAUUCUCUGGGCAGUUCCUGACACUGAGGCACGAAGGCCAGGGGAGCAAACGGGAUUAGAUACCCCUGUAGUCCCUGUCUCUUAUAC
rnacentral:rRNA from 1 species